UAUGGUUGUGUGCCAGCAGCCCGCGGUAAAACGUAGGUCACAAGCGUUGUCCGGAAUUACUGGGUGUAAAGGGAGCGCAGGCGGGAAGACAAGUUGGAAGUGAAAUCCAUGGGCUCAACCCAUGAACUGCUUUCAAAACUGUUUUUCUUGAGUAGUGCAGAGGUAGGCGGAAUUCCCGGUGUAGCGGUGGAAUGCGUAGAUAUCGGGAGGAACACCAGUGGCGAAGGCGGCCUACUGGGCACCAACUGACGCUGAGGCUCGAAAGUGUGGGUAGCAAACAGG
rnacentral:rRNA from 1 species